rnacentral:lncRNA from 1 species
UUCAGCACGACAGACCGAUAGAUCCGAUUACGUGUUUCUGCUUUCACAGUGUCCUGUUUAACUAUCCUUCCUAUUGCUUGCGCCGGAGGACCGACACCGCUAGAGUAACAUAGCCAGUCUGUCUGUAUUGCGGCGUGUGCAUGCAACUGUACGAGCGGCGCCUUCAAGCCAAUUCAUUCUGCAACCCAUAAAACAUACAAGAGGCGCUCUUUGCUUUUAAAUUGAACGGAGGACGAGCACCUCUUUCAUGGAACUGAAAGCUUCCCUUUCAAUUGCAACACUACUUCAACGCAGAGUGAAAUCCAGAGAAGUAACUUCCAACUCUCAUCCCUGUCUCACGGCCACUGAAGAAGAACCACAGAGAGCGCCCAGCACUACACAACGGACAACAAAGGGAAAACAGGUGUCUUAACUAAUUAUCUCUCUCCCCCCCUCUCUCUCUCUCCCUCUCUCACACACACACACACACUCUGUUCCACUUUGUCAGCCUCCCUCACUGACCGUGUUUCCGUCAUAUCUAGGGCCCCCCAUUUUUACUAGUCGGGUCACAUGGCCAUUGGUCUGAGCCCUACUCAUAACUACUGAUGGAAAAUCAGUAAAUAGACGAGUGCAAGUUGUUUGAAAACUGGCUCCCCUCCCAUUUCUCUCCCCUUCCAUUUCUCCUGCAGAUGCUCUGGUUAUUUGCCUGAGGUUUUCCCGUAUUCUUUAUACUGCACCAGAAAGCCUCUGGUGUCCCAUGCGACACCGUGAGUGCCAACGUGCAAUACCAAUGUCUUCCACUGGGGGGCG